rnacentral:rRNA from 1 species
UACGUAGGGGGCGAGCGUUGUCCGGAGUUACUGGGCGUAAAGCGCUUGUAGGCGGUCCACCAAGUUUGGGGUGACAGUUGCCGACUUAAUCGGCAAAGUGCCUCAAAGACUGGCGGACUUGAGGGCCACAGAGGGACAUGGAACUCCAGGUGUAGUGGUGAAAUGCGUAGAUAUCGAGAGGAACACCAGAGGUGAAGACGGGUUGCUGGGCCGACACUGACGCUGACAGCGCGAAAGCCAGGGGAGCAAACGGG